GACGAACGCUGGCGGCGUGCCUAACACAUGCAAGUCGAACGGAACUGUUUUGAAAGAUUUCUUCGGAAUGAAUUUGAUUUAGUUUAGUGGCGGACGGGUGAGUAACGCGUGAGUAACCUGCCUUCAAGAGGGGAAUAACAUUCUGAAAAGAAUGCUAAUACCGCAUGACAUAUCGGAACCACAUGGUUUUGAUAUCAAAGAUUUUAUCGCUUUAAGAUGGACUCGCGUCCGAUUAGUUAGUUGGUGAGGUAACGGCUCACCAAGACCGCGAUCGGUAGCCGGACUGAGAGGUUGAACGGCCACAUUGGGACUGAGACACGGCCCAGACUCCUACGGGAGGCAGCAGUGGGGGAUAUUGCGCAAUGGGGGCAACCCUGACGCAGCAACGCCGCGUGAAGGAUGAAGGUUUUCGGAUUGUAAACUUCUUUUAUUAAGGACGAAAAAUGACGGUACUUAAUGAAUAAGCUCCGGCUAACUACGUG
rnacentral:rRNA from 1 species